CACACGACUCUCGGCAACGGAUAUCUCGGCUCUCGUAUCGAUGAAGAACGUAGCGAAAUGCGAUACCUGGUGUGAAUUGCAGAAUCCCGCGAACCAUCGAGUCUUUGAACGUAAGUUGCACCCGAGGCCACUCGGCCGAGGGCACGCCUGCCUGGGCGUCACGC
rnacentral:rRNA from 1 species